AGUGAACGCUGGCGGUAGGCCUAACACAUGCAAGUCGAACGGCAGCACAGGAGAGCUUGCUCUCUGGGUGGCGAGUGGCGGACGGGUGAGGAAUACAUCGGAAUCUACUCUGUCGUGGGGGAUAACGCAGGGAAACUUAUGCUAAUACCGCAUACGACCCACGGGUGAAAGCAGGGGACCUUCGGGCCUUGCGCGAUUGAAUGAGCCGAUGUCGGAUUAGCUAGUUGGCGGGGUAAAGGCCCACCAAGGCGACGAUCCGUAGCUGGUCUGAGAGGAUGAUCAGCCACACUGGAACUGAGACACGGUCCAGACUCCUACGGGAGGCAGCAGUGGGGAAUAUUGGACAAUGGGCGCAAGCCUGAUCCAGCCAUACCGCGUGGGUGAAGAAGGCCUUCGGGUUGUAAAGCCCUUUUGUUGGGAAAGAAAUCCAGCUGGCUAAUACCCGGUUGGGAUGACGGUACCCAAAGAAUAAGCACCGGCUAACUUCGUGCCAGCCGCCGCCGUAA
rnacentral:rRNA from 1 species